UCACCCUCCCUUGUUUUUCCCGCCUAUAUACCACCGUCGUCAGCUCACCCUGUGAAGGCCCAAUAGUAAGCAGAAUUGGCACAGCCCAAAACGUCAGGUCGAGGUGUAGCGCAUGAGAGGGGAAGAAGUGGGCUACAUUCGCUAACAUAGCGAAUCACGGAUGAUGAACUGAAACAUUCAUCUUUAAGGAGGAUUUAGCAGUAAGUGGGAAAUAGAGUGUCCCACUGAAACCGGCUCUGAAGUGCGUACACACCGCCCGUCACUCUCUCCAAGCUGCCUGACAUUUAAUAUAAUUAAUCAGAACUUCAAACUGCUAAGGGGAGGCAAGUCGUAACAUGGUAAGUGUACCGGAAGGUGCACUUGGAAAAAAU
rnacentral:rRNA from 1 species